rnacentral:rRNA from 6 species
AGACCCGAAACCCGGUGAUCUAGCCAUGGGCAGGUUGAAGGUUGGGUAACACUAACUGGAGGACCGAACCGACUAAUGUUGAAAAAUUAGCGGAUGACCUGUGGCUGGGGGUGAAAGGCCAAUCAAACCGGGAGAUAGCUGGUUCUCCCCGAAAGCUAUUUAGGUAGCGCCUCGUGAAUUCAUCUCCGGGGGUAGAGCACUGUUUCGGCUAGGGGGCCAUCCCGGCUUACCAACCCGAUGCAAACUGCGAAUACCGGAGAAUGUUAUCACGGGAGACACACGGCGGGUGCUAACGUCCGUCGUGAAGAGGGAAACAACCCAGACCGCCAGCUAAGGUCCCAAAGUCAUGGUUAAGUGGGAAACGAUGUGGGAAGGCCCAGACAGCCAGGAUGUUGGCUUAGAAGCAGCCAUCAUUUAAAGAAAGCGUAAUAGCUCACUGGUCGAGUCGGCCUGCGCGGAAGAUGUAACGGGGCUAAACCAUGCACCGAAGCUGCGGCAGCGACACUGUGUGUUGUUGGGUAGGGGAGCGUUCUGUAAGCCUGCGAAGGUGGCCUGUGAGGGUUGCUGGAGGUAUCAGAAGUGCGAAUGCUGACAUAAGUAACGAUAAAGCGGGUGAAAAGCCCGCUCGCCGGAAGACCAAGGGUUCCUGUCCAACGUUAAUCGGGGCAGGGUGAGUCGACCCCUAAGGCGAGGCCGAAAGGCGUAGUCGAUGGGAAACGGGUUAAUAUUCCCGUACUUGGUGUUACUGCGAAGGGGGGACGGAGAAGGCUAUGUUGGCCGGGCGACGGUU